rnacentral:rRNA from 1 species
CCUACGGGGGGCAGCAGUCGAGAAUCAUUCACAAUGGGGGAAACCCUGAUGGUGCGACGCCGCGUGGGGGAAUGAAGGUCUUCGGAUUGUAAACCCCUGUCAUGUGGGAGCAAAUUAAAAAGAUAGUACCACAAGAGGAAGAGACGGCUAACUCUGUGCCAGCAGCCGCGGUAAUACAGAGGUCUCAAGCGUUGUUCGGAAUCACUGGGCGUAAAGCGUGCGUAGGCUGUUUCGUAAGUCGUGUGUGAAAGGUGCGGGCUCAACCCGCGGACGGCACAUGAUACUGCGAGACUAGAGUAAUGGAGGGGGAACCGGAAUUCUCGGUGGAGCAGUGAAAUGCGUACAUAUCGAGAGGAACACUCGUGGCGAAGGCGGGUUCCUGGACAUUAACUGACGCUGAGGCACGAAGGCCAGGGGAGCGAAAGGGAUUAGAUACCCGAGUAGUC